GUCAGUCUUUAAAGGAAAGAAAAAUACACAUCCAUAGAAAAGGUGGGUUUUGUUUUUAGGACCUGAAAGUGAUAUUUGAAAAAGGUUUGUGUUCUCUCUGACUAUUUUUUUCACUUUUUUUU
rnacentral:ncRNA from 1 species